rnacentral:rRNA from 1 species
AUUUUGACUGUGCAAAGGUAGCAUAAUCAUUAGUCUUUUAAUUGGGGACUGGUAUGAAUGGUUUAACGAGGUAUUAGCUGUCUCAUUUUAAUAAGUUGAAUUUAACUUUUGAGUCAAAAGGCUUAAAUGGAAUUGGAGGACGAGAAGACCCUAUAGAGCUUUAUAAAUUAAAUAUUGAGUUGGAUUUAGAUGUUUUGUUUAGCUUAAAUAUUUAAUUUAUUUUAUUGGGGUGAUAUGAAGAUUUAAUAAACUCUUUAUAAUAAAUAAACACUAAUAAGUGAAUAAUUGAUCCAUUUUUAGUGAUUAUAAGAUUAAGUUACCUUAGGGAUAACAGCGUAAUGUUUUUUAAGAGUUCUUAUCGACAAAAAAGAUUGCGACCUCGAUGUUGGAUUAAGGAAAAAAUUGGG